GAUGAUGUUCACCAUGCGACUCAAAUUCUUCAUGAACUCUGUGUCCAGCUGCCGCAGGCUAGAGACAGCUGCCAGGUGUGAACACCAACGUGAUAGCACCUCAUGACAACAGCAAUGCUACUCAGAAGUCCUCCUGGAUGUAUAACUGUGUCCCAAAGACCAAGAGUUUUCUACAAAACUCUGUGAGGAGAGGGAAGUUUUUACUUCCUCCUGUAUGCUGUAUUUGCCUUUAUCAACC